rnacentral:lncRNA from 1 species
GGAAAAGAAGGACCAGUAGUGCAGUGGCAUGGAAAGGAAAGAGGUGGUGUAAUAAUUCACAGAAAGGGCAGAAGUUGGAGGGAAUGAGACUGAUUUAGGAAGUAGACUUCCAAGCCCUAUUUGCUGCUGCCUGCUCCCUGCUGCUAAAGGUCAGGUUUCACCACCAGUUUGGGACUGGCUAUAAAGUUCAAAUUAGAAGGAACUGCUUUGAUGUUUUUCAAAGUCAAGAAAGGAUUUUACACCUCCCUGAGUAGCCCUUGACUGCAGUACAAGGGAUCGAACACAGGACCUUGUGCUUGUGAGGCAGGCACAGUGCCACUGAGCUAAAUCCCCAGCCCUAAAGAUUGCUAUUAACAAGGCUCUUUGGACAUUGACAAAAGCAAAUGAUUGGAAGAAUCCAUUGCAAGACACAGAUAUGAUAUGGCUCAGAGAUUGUAACUUCAAGAGUUCUCAAAUGCCCCUGAGACACCCUUGGAAUCUUGACAGAAACACAGAACCUGAGUCUGCUGUCCCUGACCUGCUGAAUUCAAAUUUUCACUGUCACAAAAUCCACAGAUAUCCAAGACUUUGACCUGUUGCAAGAGAUCUAAAGAACCUGAAAGAAUGGAG